CCAACCCCCCCCAGGUGUCGAUCUCGAAGUGCCCGAUGUGGAUCUUGUCCACGUACUUCACCUUGGUGAUCUGAAACGGCAGGUAAAUCACACCUGAGACACACCUGGAUACACCUGAGACAGGUAAAUCACACCUGGGAUACACCUGAGAUAAACCUGGAUACACCUGAGAUACCCCAACCCCCC